UUCUCAAUUUUCACUCUCAUUUUCACGCAAAAGGGUUAGGGUUCCUGACUUCCCUCCUCGCGGUUCCAUUUUUCAAUAUCAUAUGUUGCAGCCUAGCCCGUACUCGUUACCAAAAAUGACGAUCAUCUCCGGCCUACGCCACUCCAGUAUCCAUUCUCCAUUCUCGAGAUCUUAUGGAUGAUGGUGUGAUUUUAAAUCCAUCAAGUCCAAUGCAAGGGUUAGGUGAAACCGGUGCCCGUAUUCAUGGUGAGGAGCAGACAACCUCUCCAAAUUUAAAUACAUUCACUCAAAAUGCAAAUGUGAGACAAGAACAUCCAGAAACCGGUGAAGAUGAAGUGCAGUUGAAGCGGAAGCAGCAAAAAAUAUCAGAAGUAUGGAAUGAUUUUGUUGUGGUUACCCUGAAAGAUGUUAUGCAAAAACUCGAAUGUAUGCACUUUAAAACAAGAUUAUCUAAGGUUGGAUCAGGUCCUACAUCCACAAUGGCUAGACACCUAAGAAGCUGCUUACCUCAUAAAGAACAUGAAAAAAACCAAAAAUCGUUAAAUUUUCCGCCAUGUGACGCUAAUGUGGAUUCAAAAUUUGGUAAGCCUCCAAUAUUAAUAGGUCCAAAUGCAAAAUAUGAUGCUAACAAGAUGAGGGAAGCCAUAGCUAAUUGGUUACUGUGUACUGAGCAAUCUUUUAAAACCGUGGAAGAUGACAUGUAUGUGAAGAUGAUGAAGACUGCCAAUCCAUUGUUUGAAAAAAUAUGCAGAGUUACAGCUACAUCAGACUGUUUUAAAGUAUAUGAGCACGAGAAGAAGAAGUUGAAAGCCCUUACAAAAGCUGCCUAGAAAAUAUGUUUAACAACUGAUUGUUGGAAAUCCUCGCAUCAAAAAAUUGAGUAUAUGGUUAUUACUGGACGCUUCAUUGAUCAAAAUUGGAGAUUACAGAAACGCGUAUUGAGUUUCGUGCAUGUUCCUCCUCCUCGUACCGGUUUUGAUAUUGCUGAAUGUAUUUACAAAUGUUUGAAAGAGUGGGAAAUUGAAGAUAAAAUAUUCACCAUAUCAGUAGACAAUGCAGCUUAUAAUGACAGAGCGGUAAAAAGAUUGAAAGAAAUUUUUUCGACGAUAUGCAGAGUAUGAACCUCAUUUCAAUCAUUUGCCAAGAAAAGAAGAUUGAGAAAAUGUGGAAAGUGUAUGUGACCUUUUGAAAGUUUUUAAGGUGUGUACGAACAUCAUCUCAUGCAGUAACUACCCGACUGCUAAUUUAUAUCUUAUUGAAGUGUUCAGAGUGAAGCAAACUUUGGAUAAAGGUGCGUUGUCCGAGAAUGAUUUUAUCCGUGAUAUGGUGAAAAAGAUGAAGGAAAAAUUUGAUAAGUAUUGGGGGGAGUGUCAUCUUGUUAUGGCGAUAGCUUCUGUUUUAGAUCCACAUUUCAAGAUGAAGUUAGUUGAAUUUAGUUUUCCAACAAUAUAUCAAAAUCCUUAUGAGAACAUUACAGAAGUAAAGAAUGCGCUUUAUGAAAUGUAUACGGAGUAUGUAGUGAUACAUGAUACAUUAGUUAGGGAAGUUGCAACCCAUAGAAGUGAAUGUGGACGAAACAUCAUUUCAGGAUCAAAUGAAUGUACAUCACUUGGAUCGGGAUGGGAGGCAUUUGGAGAGUUUAUAAAGAAUGUAGAUUUAGAGAGACCAAAAAAGUCAGAAUUAGAUAUGUAUUUAGAAGGUGUUUAUAGGGAGCAAGUUCAAGGGGGAAUGCAAUCAUUUAAUGCAUUGGAGUGGUGGAAUGUGCACAGAUUAAAGUAUCCUAUUUUGUCCAUGAUGGCUAGAGAUGUACUUGCAAUUCCAAUUUCUACUGUUGCAUCUAAGGCAACUUUUAGUGUUGGGGUAGAGUUAUUGAUCCCUAUCGAGCUUCAUUGGCACUAGAUACAGUACAAAUGUUGAUUUGUGGAGGAGAUUGGAUUAGGCAUCUACAUGGAGUCAAGAAAAAGUUGAAGAAGGAGGAAUCUCCUACUGAGGUUUUACUACCUGUUGCUACAACAAACUAAUCGACGGUAUAAUUUGACUUUCUUUACUAUUAAUCUGAACCUUUUUUGUUGCAAAGAUUUGGAAUUUUUUGCAUUUAACCUGGAAUUUAUGCUUCUUUACUAAGGGCAAAGGGAUAAGCUUGUAGAAACUGUGGAUUGUGUAAUGUGAUGCUUUUUGUAUAAAGUUUACAUAUGUCUUAAUGUGGAGUGAAGUUACAUCCGUUGCAUCAAGGAAGAAUUAUGUUUUUGAAAGACUUGAUCUUGUGCUUUAAAUCUUAUUUUGCAAGAAUUGUGUUUUUGAAAGACUUGAUCUUGUGCUUUAAGUCUUAUUUUGCAGUAUCUAGUCACUUGGUAGUUAUUAAUUUGAAGUUUAAGUAUUUUUUUGUAAUAUGGAGUUAUUUUACAUAUUUGGUACUGUGUGCUUGGUUAAA